AAUAAUUUAUAUAUUAAUUCUCUUUUGUUUUAGUAGGACUAUUAAGACAUACUGAAACAAAAGAGUAAAGAUUGUUCUGAAUGUGAUUACUAAAGUAUUAAAUAGUUGUAGUCAUGGCUGUAAAAGAGCUUCCAGAAUCUGUCCAGUGCUUAUUAUCUUCUUCAACAUACAUUAGCACAUAUAAAAGAGCUAUUGAAGAAUUGGUUUACAAUUCUUUGGAUGCUGGUUCUACUUCAAUUGCCAUAAGAGUCCACAUCGAGGAAAAUAAAUUACAGGUCAUUGACAAUGGACAAGGAAUUAUGGAAAGUGAUUUUAACUUACUUGGACAAAGAUACACUACAAGCAAAUGUGUCGACUUAAGUACAUUAAAAGCAGCUGCCAAUACUUAUGGUUAUCAAGGUCUAUCUUUAGCUAAUAUUGUCAAUAUUUCUCGAAAUGUUAAGAUAACCUCUAGAUGUGAAAAUAAUCAGAAUACAUGGUUGAAAAUAUUUCACAAAGGUAAAACAAAAGAGUUAACUAAAACAUCUGUAAGACCAUCAAGAGGAACUACAGUUGAAGUGAAAGGAUUUCUUUACAAUCUCCACAUUCAAAGUAAGUCAGUUCACACUUUGAAUGAACUGAAUGAAAUAAAAACAUUUAUGCAACAAUUUUCAUUGAUACAUUGUAAUGUGUCAUUGAGUUUGAGAGAUGAUGCAAAAAAUGAAAUAAUUUUCCAAGCUCAUAAGAACAGAGAUAUGUGUCAAUCCAUACAGUUAUUAUUUAAUAUUGAUCCUCAAGAUAUACAACAGUUUAGAGUUGAGAAAAAUCAGUACAAAGUAACAGCUUUUAUUGGAAAAAAAUAUGAAGAUGGACAUACUCAUUGGAUUUAUUUGAAUGGGAAGUUCCUUUCUAAUAGUACAUUACAUAAAAUAAUAAAUGACAAUCUGAAAAAAUCUUGGAAGACUUCAAAAAAUGUUAAAACAAAGAAAACAGAAAAUGAAGAUCUAUAUUUAUUAAAAAACAAAAUACCAUUUUAUGUUAUAUUAUUGUCAUGCCCAUAUUAUGACUAUCACAUUAGUAAUACACCAAAACACACAAUAUUAGAAUUCAAAAGUUGGGAUGAAAUUACUAAAUUAUUGGAAAAGUUAAUAAAAUUUUACACGGGUGAUAAUAAUUUUGUAAAACAACUAAAACCAUUUAAGAAAAUUGAAAAAAAUAAAGUUGAUGACACAAGAGAACAAAUUAGAAAAAUUGUAGAAAGACUUUUGAAAAAUAAUCCUAAAAUUGGAGUCUCCCAGAUGAACAAUGGUGUGAAAGGUAAAUUAAUAAAACGGAAGAUUAAAAGGAAACUACCAAACAUAAGCCUAUCAAAAGUUAUACCUCCUAAAACAGUUCCUGCGAUAAUACCACACAAGAUAUCAGAAAAUCUAGAGUAUUCAAAUGAAAGUCAUGACAGUAAUAUGCAUGCUGGAAAUAAAGUUGAAAAGGAUUUUAAUGUACCUAAAAAGAAAUCAAAAAGAAGGAAAAGACUUAAAUCAAAAAUAGGAUUAAAUAAAGUAUCAAAUAAAAUGGAUUUCAACUCUAAGAUGAAUGACAAAAUACCCGCAAAUAAAGAACUCGAUUCAGAUAUUUCUUUACCAACUAUAAAUUCAAUUAAAUCUGAAGAAAAAUAUAUAAAUAAGAAGUGUUUUAAAAAUAUACCUUUGAAUAAAAAGUUAAAUAGUAUUGAGACAUGUGACAUGGUAGAUAUUUCUAUGCAACAUUCUCCAAGCUGUGUAAGUAUAAGUGAAAUGACAAAGAGUAGAAACGAACUGUCUAAUGAUGUAACAGAUCAAAUAAAUGUUUCAGCAUGGAAGAAAAUUGAUGAAACCAUUAUCCAUGACUAUUUACCACAUCCUUUAAAAUGUACUCAACUGUCUCAUAUUAACCAUAAUUUAAACCAAGAGAGCAAAAACAAUCAGAACCAUAUAUCUUCACACAAUCUUUUAAACACUGUUUUAAAUACUCAAAUUUGUAAUAUAUCUAACAUACCCAAAUAUAGUAGUCCCCAUACUCCUAGAUUGGCAGAUCAACCUUGGAACUUUAAACUGAAAGCAAGUAUUAAAUCUUCAAAUUGUACGCAUAAUGGUAUAUUUCUGUCUAAAUUUACAUAUGAGAGCCACAAUUACAAUAAACAUAGCAUGCCACGAUCUAUAUACACUUCAGAAAAGAAAAGAUCCAAAUGCCAAUUUAUUACAAUAAAUUCAAGGGAAAAGUUCCUCAAUUACAAAGAAACAUAUUCUUCCAUUUCUAAAAAGAAGAACUAUAAAAAGCAACGCAAAAUAAAAGGGAAGUUUAAUAAUGUAAAGGAACAAAUUGCAACAUGGAAAAAAAAGAACAAUAGAAAUGACUUGCAAAAGUUAUCAUAUGGAAUUGAAUUUUCAAAAUAUAACAGUAGUCUAUUAUGUGACGAUUUUAACCACGAAUAUAGAACUAAGAGAACAUCAUCAUUUGUUGGUGAUUUAAGAAAAAACAAAUCAAUAGAUUUAUUCUCUGAUAAAGAGAAUUAUAUAAGUAAUUCAGUUAAUGCCAAUAUAGGCCAUACUUACACCAUAUUAUCAAAAUGUAGUGUUACUGAAACUCAAAAAGUACUUAUUGAAAAUUGUGAUCUCUCAAAAGAUACAUAUAACUGUAACGAUAAAAAAAAUAAAAAUUAUAAAACUGAUUUCAAUAAAUUUUACAAUAACAAGUCAUCAAAUAGUGAUAUUUACAAAACUAAUGUGAUUAUUUCUACCAACAUUGAAUCUAUCACAUCUAUUAAGAAUACUGAACCUGUCAAUGUUUGCGAAGCAAUUAUAAGUAAUAAUAGUGACGAUGUUGUAGAAAAAGAAUAUGAAUUAAAUUCAGAAUAUAAUAAACUACACAAUACACUUAGUAACGGCCAAUCAAAAAACAAUACUAUAAGUCAUGCACAUGAAAUAAAUGAUCUCAUUGUGGGUGAAAUUUCACACCACUUUCGAUCAUUUCCCGAAAGUGAUUAUAAAGAAACAGAAAAUCCAAUCAGGAUUAAUACUUUAAACGAAGAUCAAUCAAAAUAUGGAUACUUCAAUCAAGAAUUUAAUAAUCUACACCAUAAAAAUAUUGGUGAUGCUUUAGAUAAAGAUGUUAAUAAUUUCAACAUACAAACCAGAUAUAACUUUGUACCUAAAGGAUUAUCACCAAUUUUUCAAAACUGUUACACAAAUAAUGCAUGCAGCUACAAUCUUGAAAAGGAUUAUUUUGAAGAAAAUGUAUACCACAACUUUAUCAAUGACGUGUAUAUCAAUUGUGAAGUAUUCAAACCAAUACUACUGAAUAUCUCUGAUAUAAAUACUGCAGAUAUUGAAAGAGUCAAUACAAAACUUCACAAAGAAAACUCCUCCAUAACUUUUGAUGCAAUAGCAUUAAAAAGUGCUAAGGUUUUGGGUCAAGUAGAUUGUAAAUUUAUUGCAGCUAUUAUGAAAGCAAGUGAUAAAUCAACUGAUUACUUAGUCUUGUUUGACCAACAUGCUGUACAUGAACGGAUUAGAUUGGAGACAAACUUGUCAGGUGGAAAAAGUGAUUGCUGCUGUAAAGAAUCUUAUUCUUGAAGAAAUUAAUACGAUAAAAUCACAAAAGGGCUGCAUUUCUAUGUAUCCAAAAUCUAUUAUGGACUUAGUUUUCAGUGAGGCAUGCAGAUACGCAGUAAAAUUUGGUGAUAAACUUUCAAAGGAUGAUUGCUCUUCAUUCUUACAAUCUCUAUCUGAAUGCAAAACACCUUUUCAAUGCGCACAUGGCAGACCAGUUAUGGCGGUACUAACGAAU
rnacentral:misc_RNA from 1 species